GGUCAAGCAGGAUAGCAUUGAUCAGGAUUACGACCUUACUUUCUGAAAAUACAAGCCCAGAGCAAUGCAACAAACCUAAGUGCCUGCUAUAUGAAGAGCUAAGGGCUGGAGUAGGUACAAAGUUUGUUUGGGACAUGUUCCCUGCCCUCAUAGAAUUUACUGUCCAGUAGUACUCACAAAGAACUCUAAUGUACAAUGUUAUACAAUUAGGAGAGUCAACACAAUCGAGGGGAUAAGGAACUGACUUUGGAGUUAAGAAGACCUGAGUUCAAGUCCUGCAAGUUCAGGCCACUUUCUAAGAUGCUAAUUUUCAAAGGAGGGGCCAAUCUGCUCUGGAAAAAGAAGUUUCUCACUGGAAGUUAUCCUACACUAAGGGAACCACAGGUAUGAUCCAACAAAAGGUACAUGUGCAGGUGGAGAGACAGAUAACCAGACGCUUAAGUGGAGCUGCUAAAUGGACUGGUUUUCCCAAGAAAGCAGGAAGUCAGAAGAGCAUUCAAAGGACCUGGAACUGCUGUGUAUUGAUUAGACAGCACUGAGCCUCUUUCGGAACUUUGAUGAUUAAUUCAGGCUAUAAAAAUCUAUAUGAGAAGCCUAAGUCUGCUUGGAAGAAGCUGUAGAAGGUGACCUAUGUCACCCUGAGCUCCUGAAUCGCUAGGAUAUGGGUGACUUUUGGAAAUAAAGUACCAGGUCUAAAGUCA
rnacentral:lncRNA from 1 species